rnacentral:rRNA from 1 species
UACGUAGGGACCAAGCGUUGUUCGGAUUUACUGGGCGUAAAGGGCGCGUAGGCGGCAAUUCAAGUCAGCUGUGAAAUCUCCGGGCUUAACUCGGAACGGUCAGCUGAUACUGCUUUGCUAGAGUGCAGAAGGGGCAAUCGGAAUUCUUGGUGUAGCGGUGAAAUGCGUAGAUAUCAAGAGGAACACCUGAGGUGAAGACGGGUUGCUGGGCUGACAUUGACGCUGAGUGCGCGAAAGCUAGGGUAGCAAACGGG